rnacentral:lncRNA from 1 species
CAAAGCGGCGCCACGGUUACUCGCGUCACUUCCGGUUAUUAGAGACGCCGGUGUUUUGAGAUAUUCCUUAGGAACAGCAUUACAACAAACAGCUUCUGCAGCCACCGUCAUCUUUGGGGGACAUUAAAAUACGGAUUAUGUGGACAUCUGAGCUGUGGAGAGUUGAUGUUCCUGCUGACUCUCCUUGUGGGCCCGUGUGGCAUCUCUGAAGAACCACGGUGGUUCUGAGCUGCGGGGAACCGUGGAUGUGUGCUCUACAACACAUGGUGAUGUCCUCACAAGGUUACGCCAACAGUCUGUUAUCACGUUCUUGCUCUGUUUGUGUGAAUCAAAGGCCCAUCAGCCGCGUGCCCGCCAGACUCUGACGGCGUGAUAUAACCAGAGCGGCGCUGGUGAGGCUGUCACAGCCAGACCAUGAGUGAUGUGGACGGACGACCUUGGGCCGAGCGCUGCGGUAGCUGCUCGCCGUGUUUGGCGGCCAGCGUGUGACAUCAGCAUAAUGCAGCAGCAUCAUUUGUGAUGAACAGAGAGGCCAGAACACACCAGCGCUGUCAGGGCCGCGCGGCAGGCUGCGGUCCGGGCGGUGCUGCCCCGGCCAGCCUCUGGAGCCUGGGGGAGAACCUUCACGCUUGAGUCUUGCUUUGUAGCUGUUAGAACCAGACAAACGUUCUCAGAGUGGAGCGUGGAGAGCCUCCCUGGGUGACGCGAAGCUCUUCUGCUGUCCUGAUAAUCUGGGAUUUUGUGACAUUCCUGCUGUAUUUUCAUAGUUGGCUUUAAUUUUGAGAGCUUGGGGCACGUUUGCUCUUCCUUCCUGAAGCUGUCAGGAUGCUGCGGGACUCUGGUUUGUCAGCGUUUUUUGUGGAUUUGCUUCACAUGUUCAGCCUCUCUGGUUUUGUAGUUCCCAGAGGACACGAGAGGCAGCUGCUGGUUCCAGGCCGACGCGCUCAACACGGAGCCCUUCAGAGAAACGUUCUUCUGUCUGAAACUGAGCGGUCGUCAGUGAUUGGCGGAAAUCUGCGAAACAGCCCAGCUGGACCUCAAGUAGACUAUAAAUGUGGCCGCUGUCGGCGCGUCUCCACGAGAAGGUUCCUGAGCUCAGUGGAGGCAGCGUACAUCAUUACCCAGAAUGCAACAGGUGUGAGACGUCCUGCUGAAGUCACCUCUACACCUCAUCUAUGUUCCGGCCAAUCCCCACGUCCUUCUCUCAGGCGCCAUAGCAACCGCACAGAUGGAGCCGUCUCCAGCUGCUGCCUGGAGGUGACCAGUCAAGGAUUCUGGGUGUGUUGAGUGGACUCGACGCCCUGCAGGUGCUUUCAGAGAGUUCGGGACCCCAGAACAAACCCGGUUCAUCAGUUUGUCAUCUGACGGGAAGCAACCUGCUUCUCACCAUGUAGCCGCGACAACCUGCGGAAACGUUCCUCUGAGCCAGGCUGAUUACAACACGCUGAGCUCAGCAGUUGCACCAGCAGACACACACACACAGAACGCGUCAGGUCAUUAGCAGCUGCAGAACUUCCUGUUUCAUCUUUGAGUUCUGCGUAAUCAUCGUUUUAAUUAACGGCGACGGCGGCAUGAACCACCCCCUCAACACCCCUCCCACGGCGCCACACAAACCUGAGAGCAAUUAGUGACAGUGGACCUAGAUGGAGGGUGGACGCGGACAGACCAGACGAUGAAACGACAAUAGUAGAAGAAGAAAAGAGCAUCGGCCAGUCAGAGGGAGGGGCAGGGGGCGGGGCUACGGAGAUGGCGAGACAGGGACAGACCCCUGGGAGAAGGAGCUGCUGUGGGUUGACUGACAGGUGCUGGAACACCGUUCUUGGACCGAUUGGAGGAACGAUUCUCUCCACCAUCGUCGGGCAUCUGAGGCCCGAGUGAGACGGCGGCGGAGGCCAUCAUCUCUGUCCCUGCUAAACUUUUUUCUCAGAACAAACCUGGGACUUCCUGCCUCGGUGGAGAACUUUCUCAGCUGUCGUUCCAGUCUGGAUGCGUCUCACCUGUCUCACAUUAAAGACAAACACACGGGAGGACUGAAGCUGGACCGCUGACCUGACCUGGAUCCACCUGAGACCAGGUCCAUAUCAGCUCCUGGGGUCGUCUUCUUUCUGUGAGUACUUCUGGGACUCCUUGAGUCUUUUCUUUGAUCUCCUCAGCUUAGCUUGAGCUGUUUUAUCUUCUGUCAUCUUGGAUUUACGGGGUUCUGGAUGUUUAGUCUGUCUUCUUCUAUGGUUUGAUGUGAUUCUCUUUUGUUGAGUUGAAUUUCCACAUUAUUGAUAAAAUAGUCCUAAUACAUGCCU